UGAAAUAUUGAAUUACCCUGGUUUUAGCUUAGUGUAAACAUGAAGAUUUAUAUGUAUAAAUAUAUAUGACCUAAGAAAUUAUAAAAAUAAACCAAAAUUAAUUGUAAAUAUCAAAUCCACCAUACAAGUAAGAGAAAGCAUAUUUACUAACUUUGAACACACGCAAAAGUAGACCGAAGAUCAAAAAUGGUCUUGAAUACAACAAAACUUUUAUUUUACAUCAAGAACAUAUAUCAUA
rnacentral:lncRNA from 1 species